AACGAGCGCAAAACAUGCUUUCCUCCUCUAUUUCUGUUCUCCGUCUUCUUCUCUAUCUCUCUCUCUGGUAUUCACAUUUGCACAGAACAAUAGCAGAGUAGGUAGUUUAAGGUGAAAGGAGGGGGAAAAAAUCCUCCUCCUCCCUUUUGUCCUCCCUCCUUUCUCAUCUCAGAGGGAUUUUCUCUAACACCCCCCCCCCUUUCCUUGUGGUUCUUUCCCUUAGUGAAAAUGGGUCACCUUUCUUCUGUCAGGAGAAUGCCUGGUGGCUGUUAAGUAUAUGCAAAAUGUAGCCUGGUCAAAGCAGAUGAGACACAAGCAGCGGCCCAGCAGUAUGGCACUCUUUUGUGAAUUACCUAUUUCCACUGCAGUGAUCAACAGUGUGUGGGCCCUGCUCCUAUUUGCUCGAUCGAUCCCUGCAUCUCAAACAGUUGGUUUCGCAAAUGAACAAGGUGUCACCAAAGACCGUGGCUGGGAUGACAAAUAGAGCAGGGCACACACACACACACACACACACACACGUCGCCUCCCUCCUUCUCGCCCUCCUUCUUCCCUUCACUAUUGUUUCUCCCUCUCUUAUGUACAUCAGCAGCCUUACCGUGGUGUUGAUGACCCCACGUGACCUGCUGCACACUGAGACACACACGGAAAGAAAAACACCGCCACACAUGCAGCACUGCGCUGCCCUCAAUAAUAAAAUGAAGAAUGAAGAGAGCAUAUCUCGUGCACUUUUUUAUCUCUGCAUACUGAAGUGAUGUGAGAGCAGCACUUCAUAUAUAAAGAGUUUGGAUGAUUUGUAUUUUUUUUCCCCUCUCCAAAACCAAAAAAGGAAGAGUAAAUGUGUAAGGAAAGAAUUAGAAAAGUGUGUUUGACUGCUCUGAAGUAAGCUGUGAUUGUUAGCAUGUGCAGCUUACUAACUUACAACCUACAGUAGUAACUGGGGCGUUACUUCCAAAGUGGUGGUUCCACUGGUAUUACCAGUAUUAUUGUCUAGAACUGUCCCGGUUUCAUGCUGGGUCAAGAGUCCUGACCAAUAUCUGUAAAACAUUAUUAUGUCCUGGUUUUCAACAUUCACUACCAAACUGUACAGGUUUUCACCACAACUAAAUAAUAAUUAUAAUAAUGUACUUGUUUUCAGCGCUUACAUUAAGGUUUAUGAUGUUCUCUCCCACUCAUUACCUCAAACAACAAUGCCUGUACACAUUUGAA